UACAUUGAGCAAAGGCAAUAUCGUAACCAAUGAGGUUAAUCCAAGGUGCGAUUUUUUGCUUGUUGAAGACUUUACCAAUACAUUAAAUGUGCAGAAGUUGAUUAAUGGUUAUAUAAAAUUAGG